GAAAUGCGAUAAGUAAUGUGAAUUGCAGAAUUCAGUGAAUCAUCGAAUCUUUGAACGCACCUUGCGCUCCUUGGUAUUCCUUGGAGCAUGCCUGUUUGAGUAUCAUGAAAUCUUCAAAGUAAAUCUUUUGUUAACUCAAUUGGUUUCUACUUUGGUAUUCGAGGUCUUUGCAGCUUCACACCUGCUCCUCUUUGUUCAUUAGCUGGAUCUCAGUGUUAUGCUUGGUUCCACUCGGCGUGAUAAGUUAUCUAUCGCUGAGGACACUGUAAAAGGUGGCCAAGGUAAAUGCAGAUGAACCGCUUCUAAUAGUCCAUUGACUUGGACAAUACUUUUAUGAUCUGAUCUCAAAUCAGGUAGGACUAACCGCUGAACUUAAGC
rnacentral:misc_RNA from 1 species